rnacentral:rRNA from 1 species
GCGUGGGGGCAGCUUACCAUGCAGUCAGGGGACCCGCAAGGGUAACCGGCGAACGGGUGCGUAACACGUGAGCAAGCUUCCGAUUUGUGGGGGAUAGCCGGCCUAACGGCCGGGUAAUACCGCAUACGUUCACUGGACGGCAUCGUCUGGUGAGGAAACCUCCGGGGCAAAUCGAGGCGCUCGCGGCCUAUCAGCUAGUUGGCGGGGUAACGGCCCACCAAGGCGACGACGGGUAGCUGGUCUGAGAGGAUGGCCAGCCACAUUGGGACUGCGACACGGCCCAGACUCCUACGGGAGGCAGCAGUGGGGAAUAUUGCGCAAUGGACGAAAGUCUGACGCAGCGACGCCGCGUGUGGGAUGAAGCCUUUCGGGGUGUAAACCACUGUUGCCCGGGACGAAACUCCUUUUUCGAAAGGACUGACGGUACCGGGUGAGGAAGCACCGGCUAACUCUGUGCCAGCAGCCGCGGUAAUACAGAGGGUGCGAGCGUUGUCCGGAAUCACUGGGCGUAAAGGGUGCGUAGGUGGCUUGGUAAGCGUGUGGUGAAAGUCCGGGGCUCAACCCCGGAUCUGCCGUGCGAACUGCCGAGCUCGAGCAUUGUAGAGGCAGGUGGAAUUCCGGGUGUAGCGGUGGAAUGCGUAGAGAUCCGGAAGAACACCAGUGGCGAAGGCGGCCUGCUGGGCAAUUGCUGACACUGAGGCACGACAGCGUGGGGAGCAAACAGGAUUAGAUACCCUGGUAGUCCACGCCGUAAACGAUGGGUACUAGUGUCUGGGGGAGCGACCCCCUGGGUGCCGGCGCUAACGCAUGAAGUACCCCGCCUGGGGAGUACGACCGCAAGGUUGAAACUCAAAGGAAUUGACGG